GUACAGUCAAUCGGUUUAUCGACCACAUUAAUAAAAGUUGAUAGUAUAAAGAAAAAAUCAAGUACUAUAUUUUAACGUGAAAAUGUAACGAAAAAUGUAACGUAAGUGUUGGUCGGAAACAUUAACGCGUUAUCGUUCCAUUUUAAAGUGCCUAUACCAUGGUUUUGGAGCUCGAGUUUGCAUAUCUCGAAAGUUUAGGGUAUUUUAAGACACUUUGCAAUAUAUUUUGUUAUUGAAAAAUUUCAUCUUGAUGGAUUUAUUAGCUCUUAAAGUUACCGGACAUGACGUCAAAAGGAG